rnacentral:lncRNA from 1 species
GAUAAAAAAUAGAGUCAGAGAGAUGUGUGGAGAUCAACAACUUGCUUGACGCUACUUCCUAAUUUUUACCCAAUAUAAUCAAGCCGAAGACUCUUUGUCUGUCGAUAAAUUGGACUAAAAAAAAAUGAAGAGAGGGGGUGAACUAGCCGAAUAACUGAUUGCCAUCCUAUUAAAAGAAGAAGAUCCUAAGAAGAUGAUCCAAA